AGGAUAGCUAACAAGCAGGACCGCUACAAGGUUUUGGGACGGGAGAAACUGAUGCAGCUUCUCUCACUGGAUAGGCUCACCAAAAUGUACAAAUGCCCAUGCAACGACUACCAGGUCUUCUGUGAGCGUGUGCAGAUGGACACACAGAACCAUAGGACCUUACAGGAUCAAAAUAUACACAAGUAGCAGAGAAACCAGCGAAGAAGAGCGGAAGAAUAAGACAAAGAGGAGCGAGGAUAGGGGAAACUGUAUGAAGUCAGGAUCAGUAAUAUUGAACAAAAUAGUGUUUGGUGUCAGGCAGGAGAUAGAGGUAAAGGGAAGUAAGACAAGUGAGAAAUAGAAAAGGAAUUGUGGUAGGAAUUCAAUUUUGUUACAUUCUCACUUAAGGUUGUAGUCAGUGUUGUUGAAGAACAUUGUGUGAUGCCUGUUUUGAUACAGUACUCAGCAAUCCACAGCACACAGAAUCCAUGUCUCACAGACAAACUGCCUCUGGAAUAAAGACCUUGAGUUUGUUGUCUUG